UUUCAGUUAGUUGUCGAAAUGAUUUCACAUUGUGUUUUUAUCCCCCGUAACGAGUUUUGCGGGAGGUAUUAAAAUGGACUCCGUCCGUGCGUGCGUCCGUGC